AACGCUAGCUACAGGCUUAACACAUGCAAGUCGAGGGGCAGCAUCAUCAAAGCUUGCUUUGAUGGAUGGCGACCGGCGCACGGGUGAGUAACACGUAUCCAACCUGCCGACAACACUGGGAUAGCCUUUCGAAAGAAAGAUUAAUACCGGAUGGCAUAGUUUUCCCGCAUGGGAUAAUUAUUAAAGAAUUUCGGUUGUCGAUGGGGAUGCGUUCCAUUAGGCAGUUGGCGGGGUAACGGCCCACCAAACCAACGAUGGAUAGGGGUUCUGAGAGGAAGGUCCCCCACAUUGGAACUGAGACACGGUCCAAACUCCUACGGGAGGCAGCAGUGAGGAAUAUUGGUCAAUGGACGAGAGUCUGAACCAGCCAAGUAGCGUGAAGGAUGGCUGCCCUAUGGGUUGUAAACUUCUUUUAUACGGGAAUAAAGUGAGCCACGUGUGGCUUUUUGUAUGUACCGUAUGAAUAAGGAUCGGCUAACUCCGUGCCAGCAGCCGCGGUAAUACGGAGGAUCCGAGCGUUAUCCGGAUUUAUUGGGUUUAAAGGGAGCGUAGGCGGGUUGUUAAGUCAGUUGUGAAAGUUUGCGGCUCAACCGUAAAAUUGCAGUUGAUACUGGCGACCUUGAGUGCAACAGAGGUAGGCGGAAUUCGUGGUGUAGCGGUGAAAUGCUUAGAUAUCACGAAGAACUCCGAUUG
rnacentral:rRNA from 1 species